UGAGCCGAAAUCAGGAGUUGGUCACUUAACUGAGCCACCCAGGGUAACCUACAGUUGCUGCAGAACUGCUUGGCGGUGUUCAACGGAGACACAUAAGCCACACUCCACCUACAGUUAAAAAGGGCUGCCUUCCUUCAGAUUUUAUUUUUGUUUUCUUAAUGGUAUUAAGCAUUUACUGCUCACUGGAAACAAAAGAAACAGCCGUCAAAGUGCAUCUACUCUCCUUUUUUCCGAGAAACCACGGAGCGGCGCUGUCCCUGGGCUCUGCCAGCGUGCGUGGUGGGACGCCGCGCCCCCGCACCUGUGCGCCCCUUGUGGCCGUCGGCCCUCGCCGUGCGUGCCUCCUCUCCCGAAGCCCCAAGUUCAGGCUUGUUUUAAGUAGCCUCUGUAACUGUGUUUAUUUUAUGAAUAGUAUUCCUUCUGGCUGCCAGUCUUACUUUUAAGUACUCUCUGAAGUUUAACCCUUUUAAAAACACAUUGUUCAAACAAGAUAAAGAUUGCCCUUACCUUUUUUUGAAUUUUGUUUUUAAAAAACAUUGUAUACCACCUUAGUUCAUUCAUGUAUCCUGGUAAAGCAUCUUAAUCGGACUUAUUUUUAAUUAAUGAACAUUUCUUAGAAGUUUUGGGACAGAUUUUAUGUAAUCUUUGUAAGUAUGAUUUCUGAUGAAAAGCAAAUGCAUUAGUAUGUUUGCCUUAAACUUGUAGACUAAACCAACUAUUAUCAAAUAAAGUGAUAACAGUGAUAGUUUUUAACUCUGUGGUCAUUGUAUCACUCUAAAAUUUGGAGUAGCUAUAAUAAAUCUACUCCUUUAUUCUGCUUUACAGUGCAGGUCUUAGUUUUUCCUUUUUCUUUUUUUAAAUGGCAUAUUGAAUGAAGUUCACCAGUCCCUUUACAAAAGGAUGAACUGCUUCUCUGUGUGCUUUUAGCCUUUUAUAGAAGGUGGAAUUGAGCAGAGGCAAGUUAGAAACAGCCAUUUCUAAAACACAGGAGCAGACAGAACAGUCUGUUAUGGUUUCCUGAAUUCUAUCUCUAGCUCAGCCAAGGAACCGUGAGACGUGCCAUUGAGCCCACUUGAUCGUUAUACUAGUGUAUAAAUUGGUAUGUAGAGAGAAAGAGUAUAUAGGGAACAGCAUUUGUCGGUGGGGGAAAAAUUAGAAUAUUUGGACUAAAAAGGGUACAAAAAGGAUACUAAUUGUCAGUAGUCAAUUCCAAAUAUUACUGGUCUUUUUAAUGUAAAUUAACAUCAGGUCAUUUCUAAUUUAAAAUUAGGUUGUGUGGUUUGAUUUUUUUCACUAACUUCUCUUCCAGUUGGAAACCACAAGCAUUUGGGUUGGUCACCCCUCGUUUAAAUUUUCCCAAACCCUGGUUUAGGUCUUAAGGGUAGUCACCAUGAUUCCGGCCUUGCAUGUUCUCUUGCCUUACUGGUGUGCUGGUUAAUGUUCUUUCACUGAUGUUGUUCCCUGAUGCCAUUCGAACUUGAUUUUUCUGUUGCCUGAGAAAUCUCUGUGUUUUGUCCUCCUUCAUGUCUCCUUCCCUGGUGAAAAUAUGCCCGUGCGAUGCUCUCCAGUGGGUGAACAUGGGCCAGAGAGCCCUAGCUUCUGGAUUCUGGUGCAGUCCCUUCGCUGGCUGCCCUUGUGGCCUCAGGCAGGUUCGCUUGACCUCUCUCUGCCUCAGUUUCUCUACUACAAAGGACCUAUUGACCUACCUCACAGGGGUGUUGUGAGGAUUAAUAAACAUUGGUACAGUGCUUUGGAAA